rnacentral:lncRNA from 1 species
UGGAAUGAUUGUUUAGUCCAAAAUUAAGUUCAGAUGCUUUGUAGAUGGAUUGGAUUGCAAGGUACAUGUGCAUUGUCAUUUGAAGUUUGAUCCAUGCCGAAUGAUACCCUCCUGUUUAAGCCAUGUGCAAUCUAUGCAUUUCUCAUCCAAAAGAAUAAACUUGAGCUCUUUGGAAAGGUGAGGUAAAGAGGGACAAGUUUGGUGUUGAACACUUUUUCAUUUGGAGUUUGGAACUUG